UACGUAGGGUCCGAGCGUUGUCCGGAAUUAUUGGGCGUAAAGAGCUCGUAGGCGGUGUGUCGCGUCGGCCGUGAAAACCUGCAGCUUAACUGUGGGCUUGCGGUCGAUACGGGCAUCACUGGAGUUCGGCAGGGGAGACUGGAAUUCCUGGUGUAGCGGUGAAAUGCGCAGAUAUCAGGAGGAACACCGGUGGCGAAGGCGGGUCUCUGGGCCGAUACUGACGCUGAGAAGCGAAAGCAUGGGGAGCGAACAGG
rnacentral:rRNA from 1 species